CGUAAUUUCGUCCCUCCUAAAAAAAUUCAAUUCAUCCAUUUUUACCUCGCAUUGUUAUACACACUUACCCAUGUGAUUUUCCCUCCAUAAAAUGACAAAAAUAACAACCCUUAAUAAAUUUUACCUUGUUUUAAUCCUAUCCUAACAAGUUUUCAAAUUAAAAGCGGUCACAUCACCACCCUAUCCCCACCUACCUCACCACCCCAUGCCCCUACCCCUACCUCACUCACGUGUCCUGCACACCCAUAUCAAAGACGCCAUUCACAGAAAACCAUAUAUAGUUACAGUAGAGAAAAAUAAAGGGGGUACCAUUUUUUUCAUUCAACAUACACACAGACCCCCAUUUCUUCUUUUCUUCUUCACUCACAUCACACACACAGUGAAGAAGACGGAUACACACACCUCACAGAUUCACGACACACACAAAUAUGCAUACCACGCUAGUGAGAGGAGAAAUCGAAGGAGGGAGCAAACAUUGAAAUUGGGGGAGUCGAUUUAGAGGGAAAAUGGCGUGAGAGAGGAAAGAACACAUGAGAGAGAGAUUCGAGAUCGAUGAAUUGAGAAGGGGAUUGGGAGCAGAGAGUAAGAGAAGAGUGAGAGAGAGAGAGAAAAACAGAGAGAAAACGCGUGAGAGAGAAAAUUUGGGCGAGUUUCACCAAAAAAUUUCGUCGCUGCUGAUCGCAUCUCCAUUUUCGGUUACUGCCGAGCUUGCCGGAGCUCCGGCAUAGCAAGAGUCCUCGUUCUCAGUCCAUUUGCAGCCCCGAAACCCCCCGAACCACCCGUUUCUGUUUGUUCUGACGACCUCAUUGAAAAACAGCCGCCUCCUCCAUUAAUUCCGGUUGAAAAUCACCGAAAAAUGCCCCAAAACUAUUCUAUGAUGCGGCUGUUUUGGUGGAAACCACAACCGGAUUCCGCUAUUCCUAAAAGGGGUUAAAUCAUUUUUUAUUCGGUUUUGUUGGUCGAGGUCGGGUCAAGGUAUUUCGAUCGGAGCUCUAAUCAAAUAUUUCGACGGAUUGAAAUAAAAGUAAUAUCGAGGUCCAAUUCUAUCUUCUCUCGCUUUAAUUUUUAUGUUAUCGUGAAUGAUUUGUGUGUUUGGUAUGUUUGAAUCUUGAUUGUGUAUUGGUUGAUAUUGGAUUUGAAUGUUGAAAAGUGAGUUGAUAAUUGAAGCAUGUGUUAAUCAUCGAUCGAUAAGAAUGAAGUUGGGGGUGGGAAUUGCAAAAAUCAAUAAAAAGUGAUUAUAGUCAUAUUUUGAUUCAUUGUUGAUGUUUAACGUGAUAGUAUCAUGCUUUAAGUCGAAACGGGUAGGCAAACGUAGGUUGGGUAGGCAAAGUUUAGAAUUUGUCAUUUUGUUGAAUGUUUGAAAUUUUGUUGAAUGGUUUGAUUUUAUCGCAUUGAAAAGAUGUAUUCAUUUAGUCGGGGAAUGCCCCAAGGUACAUUGUAUUUAUUCAUCGGGGAAUGCCCCAACGUAUUAUGUUGGCAGAAGACGUUCGUGAUGAACGUCCAAGGCAUCAGGUAAAGCAUAGGAGAGUAAUUAGGUUAGUGUAGGUUAGAAUAUGAUUUCUUUUCUCGCACUCUUUAUUUGGGAUUGUAUAAUUAGAAUGAACACUAUAUUUUGAAUGUGUUCUGUUUUGUGCGUUUGAUUAAUUGUUUUAUGUGUAUUUUGUGUGUUUUAUACAUUUGUAAUGUCAAAUUAGUCGAUAUGCUCCACCGAGCGACCGUGGUCGAACCACGGGAUCGAAGGAUGCCUAACACCUUCCCCUCGGUCAACUGAAUUCCUUAACUAAAAUCUCUGUUCGCGGAUCAGUUUUAGAGUCAAACCGUUUUGAUAAGGAUCUCCAAAGGUGACUUGGCAUACCCGAUUUAUGCAAAGUGGCGACUCUGAGUUUUGAAUUUAAUUAUAAAAGAUCCUUUUUCGAAAUAAUUUUCACCUUUUGUCACAUAACAAUAAAAACCCUUUCGAACCUUAAAAUUUAAUCUUUUCGGGUUGAAAAAGGGAUGUGACAGCUUUGACGACUCUGUUAGGGACCCUUUUCAGAAUUCGAGCUUAUUUUUGGAGUUAUAUCGGCUUAGUUUUGACAUUAUGAGUGUAUAGACAUUGUUUGUGUUAUUGUUUGUAUCUGUUUAUCAUUGUUGAGUGCUUACGUGUUUACAGUUUUUUUCUUAUGUGCUACCACUUUAUAUUUGACAUCAUUUGCAUAAUCCGAGUCAAUUCUUUUUGCAAUAAGUUAUGUAGUACACGCUGUGUACACGACCUAUAGUUGAGUCACCCUUAUUUUUAGAAGGGGGAGCCGUUGGCUGGUAUGGAGUGGGUGGAAAGCUAGUGCAGCCACUAUUGACCAUACUCUCCCCCGAACAGCCUUGUUAGUGAACCCCAACGUAGGUUAGCCUUUAGGUCAUGCUUAUCUGCAUCAUAUUGAGACCUAGCGGGACUCACUUGGUCCUUUGUAGGAGACUCACCUCUAAAGCAUUUCUACGUGCUAAAUGUUGCAUAUUUGAGGGUAGCAGGGUCAUUUGACAGACUGAUUUGAGCAAAAGCAUGCGUUAGAAGCAAAGUGUGUAGGCAAGAAAUUGUUGAAAAGAAGAGUGAAAAAAAAGAAAAAAAAGAGAGUUUCGUAAUUUUUUAGAGAUCUUUAUGACUUUUAUUUCUCACAAUACAAAAUUUGAAAAAGAUUUUUCUACUUUUUUUCAUGCAUUUACUCAAAAAAACGAAACAAAAACAUUAAAAAUAUUUUCUUUUGAUUCCUUUAGCAUGCAUUAAUAAUUCAAAAUUUUCAAAAAAUAUUUUUUUAAUAGGAGUUUUUUUUAUAAAAGAAGAAUUAAAAAAAAUGGUAGAAGUUUUUUACAUUUCAUAUAGCGAAAAUAUCAAAAAGAUUUUUUUUUCUUUCGUAGUUGUUGGUGUCAGUCUUAUGUGAAGUGUCAAAUGAGAAAAACUCAAAAGAAAAAAAAUUAAUUAACGAUGUUCAUUGUUUGUCUUUGGUCGUAUCUCUCAAGUCAGGGUCUAGUUUGUUAUUCAAUCAUUAGUUGUUCAAUCUGGACGAACUACGCACCCCUGAUUCUCGUCUUUUGGGAGUAAGAUACGUAGGCAGCCUAUUGUUGGUUCGGAGAUCUUAUUUGAAAAAAAAAAAAAAAAGAUUUUCAUCAAUUUUUUUGUCAAUUUGUUAUUUUUGAAGUUUCUGGAAAAAAAAAAAGGAAAAAGAAUUAAUUGGUCAUUUUGGCAAGACUUCACGAACUACGCACACCUGAUCUCCUCUUUCGGGGGUGAGAUACGUAGGCUCCCUUCUUGGGUUUUGUGACCUUUUAAAAAAAAAAAAGAUUUGAAAAAAAAUGUUGAAUUCUAACGCAUUUGCUAUCUCUUGUUCAGUUAGUUUAAGGUUGUUUGUUUGUGGCAUUUUGGCUGGUCCUCCAUAUUGCACCAAGUCACAGAGAAAGUUAUGACCAACAAGGAUAUCGAGUUUGUUGUCACUGAUCAGAUAGGGGUUCGGACAAUGAGAAUUUAGGAGCUAAUGAAGAGAUUCGAAAAUUAAGACAACAAAUGAUAGAAAUGCAUCGAGCUUGGGCUAAUGGGUUGCCACCUCUUCCAUUUUCCGCUAAUAAUCUGGAAUAUCUUUCUAGCUUGUCUCUAGUGUCACAUACAAAUUUUCCUAUUUUUGUUGACACACCACAACAUGCAUCAGGCCUUGCUCCGGGGCAACACUAUCCAAACACUUCCAAUAUUUAUUUCCUCACUCCUCAACACAAAUCUACCACAUGCUCGGCUCCACACAUUGUUCAUGUUUUUGCAGCACCACCCCCACCAGAAGCUCCUACUUUUGAGGUUUAUCCACAAGUUGUGCCUCCCCACUCUGUGAGAGAGCCUGUAUUGAAUAUUUUUGCUGAUCAACAUCAUACUAUUGAGCCCACAUUUAAGUCAACUAAUCCUUAUAGCUAUACUCACCUGCCUGAAUUUUCUCUUAACACUGAGAAGCUUGUUAUAACAGAAGAACAAGAGGAAAUGACCAGAAAAUUGAGAAGUUUGGAACUGGCUAUGAAAGACCUCCAGGAACUUGGGGGUACAAAAGUGUCUCAUAUAAAGAUCUGUGCAUGUUUACAGGGGUUCAUCUUUCUUUUGGUUUUAAAAUGCCAAAGUUUGAGAAGUAUGAUGGACAUGGAGAUCCUGUAGCACAUUUGAGACAUUAUUGCAACCAACUAAGGGGUGCUGGGGGAAGGAGGAAUAACUCAUGGCAUAUUUCGGUGAGAGUCUUUCAAGCCUAGCUUCAGAAUGGUUUGUUGACCAAGACAUCGAUAAGUGGAUUAGUUGGGAUGACCUAGCUAAUGAAUUCGUGCAACAAUUUUAAUACAAUAUGGAGUUGAUAUCUGAUGAGAAAUCCCUUACUAAUAUGAAGAAAAAGAGUACUGAAACUUUUAGAGAGUAUGCGAUUAGAUAGCGUGAACAAGCUGCUAGGGUGAAACCGUCAAUGAACAAAAGUAAGAUAGUGGAGGCGUUUAUUCAAACGCAGGAUGAAACAUAUUAUCAACACUUGUUACCUGCAUUAGGCAAGCUAUUUAUUGAGGUCCUCAAAAUGGGGGAGAUGAUAGAGGAAGAAAUUAAGACCGGUCGCAUUGUGAGUUUUGCAACAUUGAAAGCGACUACUCAAGCAAUUCAAAAAGGUUCGGGAAGUGUUGGAGGAAAGAAAAAUGAGAAAGAUGCAUCUGCCAUUGUAGUUGGAUAACAGGCACAGGUAAGACGAUCACACCAUCGCUACCCACAGGCUCAAACCCAAGUUUAUGCCCAAGCUCCACAGAAUCUUUCCCAAAAUCCAUUAUAUUUCAUUCCCCCACCUCCAUAUCAAGUGUAUAAUGCACAACCAUAUGUUUAACUCCUAUUUUACCUACACUGGCGUGCACCAACUCUGCCGAGUCAGCCUCCAACUCCACAUACAUACCGAAAACCUUCUAGGCCUGGUUUUCAAUUUGAGCCAAACAGUGAAAUGAGAGUUGAGGGAUAGUUUCACACCAAUCGAAGAGUCAUAUGCCAGUUUAUUUCAGAGAUUGGUACAGCUGGGCAUGAUUAAUCCUCUCUUUGGGUAUACUCCUAACCUAUAUUCAAGAAGUUUUGAUCCUAAUGUACGAUGUGUAUAUUAUUCUGAUGUUCAGGGUCACAGUAUUGAAGAUUGCCGUGCUUUGAAAAGAGAAAUUGAAAAGAUGAUUCAAGAGAUAAAUCAAUUAUGGAGCAGAACAUUGACAGUGAGGAAAGUUUUAGUCAUGCUAAUAUGCAAACCAUUGGCUAAGAUGUCAGGCUGAGCAAUUGACAAGUCACCCCUCUCCCUACUAGUAAGAGGUCUGGUAGCCUGUUUUGUUUUAUUUUCUGUUAUCCGAAUUAUUUCAGGGUUGUAGUUCGAGAUCUAUCUUGUUUUGUCCUUUUGUCAUUAUGUUCAAAUUCUUCUAUCUUUCCUUUUAAUUAAAUGGAGUGUCCCUUUUUCCUUUGUGUUUUAAAUUUAUGUUGUUUGUUUGUUUUAUUUACAUAGUAUGUUUUAUAUUGAUUCUAGUGUUAUGACAUGCUAGCAGAAUUUUCAUUCAGAUCUUAAAAUCCAGUUUAAGCAUGAGCAUUGAGUCAAAGGAUUAAUGUUAGAAAAAGAGAGUAUCUGAGAAUAUAGAUAGAGUGUUGAGACAUUUGGUGACAAGUUGAAGCCUUAUUUGAAAAAUUAAGGCAAUUAUUUUGAGAAUCACAAGAAUAACUUGGUCAUCAAUUGAAAGACAUGUCUUAAUUAGGUCAAAUAGUGAAUGUGUGGUCCUAUCAAAAGGAACAGAAAAAUCAGCUCCACGAAAACAUGAGUCAUUCGAUGUGAGGAAUGUACAACAAAGGUGGAGUUUGCGAAAGAAGUAGUGACGCACAGACUCAGUCAGAGUUAAUGUUGUAAGAGAUGUUACAAUGAUCUUUAUCUUUCACUUUCACUUGCAUGCUAUCUACCAGUAUUUUCAAGGAUUGAUAUGACGAAGACAUUUAUUCCUUUAUCCAAACAUUAUGUCAUCUUUUGUUUACUCCAUUUGAGCUUUAGUCCUAUUUUAUUUCAUACCCCUAUUUUAGAAUCAAGAUAGAGCCAGCAAAACUUGAAAGAAAAGUGUCAAGCAAAAUAAUAGAGUCAGAAAGUUUCAGAAAAGAAAAGAGAGAAAAAAUGUGUCAAAAAAAAGAGUGUCAAGAAAAAUAAAGUCAGAAAAGUUCCAAAGACAAAGAGUCAACAAAAGAAAAAAUUUAGAAUCAAGUGAAAGAACAAGCUGCCAGAACUACGCAUGACCUGAUUCUCCUCUUUCGAGGGUGAGAUACAUAGGCUGCCCUACUUAGGGCUCGAUCCAACCAAAUAAAUAAUUUAGAAUCACCCAGUCAAAAGAAACUAGGGCAUGAGUUAAUCCUCAUUGUUUGAGUCGAUUUCAAAAGUUGUAAGUCCUACCCCAUUUCAAAUGUUGUUUGAGCCUCAUAUCAUCCUUUCUUUCUGACCUUAUCCAAAAGUCAAGUCACAACCAGAGAAAGACCUUCAGAUCAAUCUCUGAGAAUGCUAAGGUUAAGCAUGCAAUGGAUAUGAUGACAUAUUUUGGGAACUACUCAUUUUCCUCAGCAUAAGAAAUCAGAAGAGAAAUAAAAAUGAGAGAGUCUUAUUGGUAAAAACCCUUACGGGCACCAUAAGGCGAUGGUAAGUUGAGAGAAAAAUGAGAGAGGAUCGUUGGCAAAAAUCCUUCAAUGUGCCACUAGCCGAAUGAGCUCUUCGAAUACAAUGGGUCUAAGCAAGUAACUUAGUUUCAGAGUCGUUAACUCAAGAACAAUUGGUAGAAAGUUUGGAUGGCAAGAUCAGGCAGGUUGAUCUAAAAUGCAUGGCAUAAUCACUAGAGUUGACUGUCAUUUCUAGAUAAAUUUUUAUUUCUUUGUUUCAAAUGAGGACAUUCAUUGUCUUUUCUUUCCUCUUUAUUUUUAUUUUGUUUUCUUGAGUCAGUUGUCCAAAUAAGUCAUUGUUAUUUUUCUCUUGUCUUUGAGUCAAGUCCAUGUCAAAACAAGUGUGAAAAUAUUUCAAAACUGGCUACCAGCUUCUUCAAUUGCGCAAAGCAAUACAAAAGGCCAACACAUGAAAGAGACAUGAUUGUGAGCCAAAAUAAAGCAUGCAGAGAGUUUUGUCAACCGACAAGUCUGGGAACUCAUGGAAAUAUUUAGGUUCAAAGGGUUUAUCUGAGAAGCAUGACAAAGUAGAGAUACUGUAUUUGUUUCAGAGUCACUUUUAAUAAUCUGAGUUCGGGUCAAUGAUGCAGCAAGUCGGUGACACAUUCUAAUGGUUGAAAGCAAGAUUAAAUGUGACAGGGGCAAGAAUGAUUUCAAUGAAAGCCAAAGCCACAAACCAACCACCAUGUUCUUGAACUAACAAGUUUUCUUUAUAUGAAACAGGAACACAUGUUACCUUUGAAUCAAGGAUUUCAAAGCCUAAACAUCAAAAGUUGCAAUGCCUCACUUCCACAAAUGCAGGACACAAUUUGUUGCAUAGGUUUGGUAAUCAAAACCAUGGUAAAACUCAUCAUCCAAUAUCUCUAGGAGACACACUUCUUUGUUUGGAUAAUUCAGGAGACAUUUGUAAGGAGAUGCACUUCCUUGUUUGGGCAAUUCAAGCAAUAUUUGUAAGGAGACGCACUUCCUUAUUUGGGCAAUUCAAGAGAUAUUUGUUAGGAGACGCACUUCCUUAUUUGGGUAAUUCAAGCAACAUUUGUAAGGAGACGCACUUCAUUGUUUGGAUAAUUCAAGCAAUAUUUGUAAGGAGAUGCACUUCCUUGUUCAUUAAUUCAAGCGUUAUUUGUAAGGAUACUUACUUCCUUGUUUGGGUAAUUCAAGCGACAUUCAUAAGGAGAUGUAUUUCCUUAUGUUAGUAAUUCAAGAGGUAUUGGUAAGGAGAUGCAGUUCCUUAUUUGGGUAAUUCAAGCGGCAUUUAUGAGGAGAUGUACUUCCUUGUUUGGUAAUUCAAGAGUUGUCAUAAGGAGACACACUUCCAAAGGAGACGCAUUUUCUUGUUUAGGUCAUUCAAGCGACAUUGGUAAGGAGAUGCACUUCCUUGUUUGGGUAAUUCAAGCGACAUUGGUUAGGAGACACACUUCCUUAUUUGGGUAAUUCAAGUGGCAUUUAUGAGGAGAUGCACUUCCUUGUUUGGUAAUUCAAGAGGUAUCAUAAAAGGACGCACUUCCUUGUUUAGGUCAUUCAAGUGGCAUUGGUAAGGAGAUGCACUUCCUUGUUUUGCUAAUUCAAGUGGCAUUUGUGAGGAGACGCACUUCCUUGUUUGAUAAUUCAAGUAACAUUUGUAAAAAGAUGCGCUUCCUCAUCUGGGUAAUUCAAGCAACAUUAGUAAGGAGACACACUUCCUUGUUUAGUAAUUCAAGCGAUAUUUGUAAGGAGAUGCACUUCUUUGUAUGGGAAAUUCAAGCAACAUUUGUAGGGAGAUGUACUUCCUUGUUUGGGUAAUUCAAGCAUUUGUAAGAAGACAUAUUUCCUUAGGUAAUUCAAGUGGAAUUUGUUGAGAGACGCACUUCCUUGUCAGUUUUUAUUUGUCAGGAUCCCGCCUGAAGAACAGGGUGAUGAAACUCAAGUCAGGAGUCCAAAAGCAACUGCAUAUAUAGGACUUUUUGUAAUUUCAUUUAUGUUUUAACUUAUAAUUUUCAUUUUUGAUGUAAUAACAGAGCCACGGACCGGAACCUCGAUGGCACCUCACUCGACUCUCUAACUCGGUAUUUUCCAUCUUCUUCCAAUGUUUUAAGAUACCUGCGACUUAACUCUCUCAUAACUUGGGUAGGUAGGAUGUCCUAAGUCAAGAAUCGGUUGUCUUUCUUCCUUUGAAUAAUGGUCGGGUCAAAAUUCUGUCUCAU
rnacentral:lncRNA from 1 species